UACGUAGGGGGCAAGCGUUGUCCGGAUUUAUUGGGCGUAAAGAGCGUGUAGGCGGUUAGGUAGGUCCGUUGUGAAAACUCGAGGCUCAACCUCGAGACGCCGAUGGAAACCAUCUAACUAGAGUCCGGAAGAGGAGACUGGAAUUCCUGGUGUAGCGGUGAAAUGCGCAGAUAUCAGGAGGAACACCGGUGGCGAAGGCGGGUCUCUGGGCCGGUACUGACGCUGAGACGCGAAAGCGUGGGGAGCGAACAGG
rnacentral:rRNA from 1 species